AGAGACAGCAGUCGCCACGGUAAUACGUAGGUCCCGAGCGUUGUCCGGAUUUAUUGGGCGUAAAGCGAGCGCAGGCGGUUAGAUAAGUCUGAAGUUAAAGGCUGUGGCUUAACCAUAGUACGCUUUGGAAACUGUUUAACUUGAGUGCAAGAGGGGAGAGUGGAAUUCCAUGUGUAGCGGUGAAAUGCGUAGAUAUAUGGAGGAACACCGGUGGCGAAAGCGGCUCUCUGGCUUGUAACUGACGCUGAGGCUCGAAAGCGUGGGGAGCAAACAGGAUUAGAUACCCCCGUAGUCCCUGUCUCUUAUACA
rnacentral:rRNA from 1 species